rnacentral:tRNA from 1 species
GGCUUGAUGGUCUAGUGGUAUGAUUCUUGCUUUGGGUGCAAGAGGUCCUGGGUUCAAUUCCCAGUCAAGCCC